UACGAAGGGGCUAGCGUUGUUCGGAAUUACUGGGCGUAAAGCGCACGUAGGCGGACAUUUAAGUCAGGGGUGAAAUCCCAGAGCUCAACUCUGGAACUGCCUUUGAUACUGGGUGUCUUGAGUAUGGAAGAGGUGAGUGGAAUUCCGAGUGUAGAGGUGAAAUUCGUAGAUAUUCGGAGGAACACCAGUGGCGAAGGCGGCUCACUGGUCCAUUACUGACGCUGAGACGCGAAAGCGUGGGGAGCAAACAGG
rnacentral:rRNA from 1 species